rnacentral:rRNA from 1 species
GACGUAGGGCGCGAGCGUUGUCCGGAUUUAUUGGGCGUAAAGAGCUCGUAGGCGGCUUGUUACGUCGACUGUGAAAUCCCGCGGCUCAACUGCGGGCUUGCAGUCGAUACGGGCAGGCUAGAGUUCGGUAGGGGAGACUGGAAUUCCUGGUGUAGCGGUGAAAUGCGCAGAUAUCAGGAGGAACACCGAUGGCGAAGGCAGGUCUCUGGGCAUUAACUGACGCUGAGGAGCGAAAGCAUGGGGAGCGAACAGG